AUGACACCACCAAGGGGCGCGCGAGAUGGAACAUCUGUCAUGGGACGUACCACUGACAGGGCCGGAGUACUCACAGUCAAGGACAGAGGCCUGCCCCUCACCAGGACAUCAGAGACCCGUCGGGACCUUUCUCCCCCCUGCCCCUUGAGGAACCCUGGCUGGCUUGCCGCACUACACCUAUUCUAUAUUACCCAGGGAGGCGCAAGCAAGCCCAAUGCCCAGCACAGAGAAAACGCUUGGUGCCACUACAAAGAAGUACAUUUCUGUUUAGCAAGACUUUUUGCCGGGUCCAAGACUCCAGCGAAUUGUGAGGUUUUAAUCCUAACUUUGCCCUCCCUCCCUUUGGGGACCACCCUGGAAUAGUCCACUAACAUCUGCAUCGGCUGUUCCCCGAUGACACCACCAAGGGGCGCGCGAGAUGGAACAUCUGUCAUGGGACGUACCACUGACAGGGCCGGAGGUAAGACCAUUCACUCGGAAGGUACCAUUAGAGGGUAGGAGGCGGUCGUUCUGGAAUAAUCCAUCGUGUUCCAAUACUGAGGGUUCACGUACACUGCGGAGGGCGUUAACCACAGUUCCCGGAGGAGGCUCUCAUGGAGCCGCUGGGUCCAUCCCCAUUGUAUCCUCUCCGUCUUCCCGGAGCAUUCGAGCACGAGUACACACUGAAUACCAGGAUGCAGCCUUCUUUCUACCUACUCCAAGUUCACCCCUUCGUUUCUAUAUGGUCACCUCUAGCUGGGGCUGACGGCAACGGGGCAAGGGAUUGGCUCCCGGAGGCGGUGGGAGGGGUCGGAAAGGAUUAUGAGUGAUGAUUGGUCAGGGCGAGAUUGCUCUUCCGUUGUCCCAACCAGCGACGGAAGUCCUCUACUCCCACCCUCCGUAGUCGUCUGCCCAGUUCCGAUUGGCCGUCUGUUUGGGGGGGCCCCGAGGUCGCAGAGUUGAAGCGCAGCGUGAGAGGUGAACGUAUGCGUCUUUGCGCUUGCGCAUGCGUGCGUGCGUGCAUUUCCGUGCGCUUGCGCGUGCGGGUAUUUUUCACACUACAUUUUCUCCGAGCGGGUCUGUGCUACUGACUGUCCGGAAGGGGUAUCGUAGCUGCCCCGGUCAGUAGCGCGGUUAGGCUCAGUCGCUGGCUGUGCGGAGUGACGGUGCUGUCUUCACGUGAGCUCUUUCAGUCUUGUCGAGCCCACAUUCUGGAGCUUGUGGUUCCCCAUGGUCAAUCGCACAGAUUCACGUAAAGUCCAGAGAGAGGUCUCUGAGUUUGUUUGGUGUCUCUCCCUGGGAAGUAACGUGUGUCAUGCAGUUCGAAGCUAUGUAUCGCUACGCCUGACAUCAUAGAUGCUAGUUGGGUCCAUGUGAUGUCUUUGAGCGCUUUGGGGAGUUUUUGGUGAACGGAAUAGUUUAUCUAACUGGAUUUUGGGAGCCAUGGUUCAAAGAGCCUUAGGCUUUGUCUGCCUUGUAUAUUUGGGUAUGCACUUUCUGAGCUUUGGAGUCACUGGGUUUUAGACUGCUCUGUAGGCGUGUGCACCCCGGACUGUGAGGUGUCUGAGCUAUUUGCGAUUCUGACUACCAACUUAUGAAGUCUCUGAGCUGCUUUGGGAAGGCUUUGUCCAAAGGCGUAGAGGAUCUCAGCUGUUUGGGGUUUGGGUGUCAGGAGUAACGUCUCUUACCGUUUUGGCCUUAAAGUCUCUGUCCAGGAACGGAGGGGUUUGGAACCUGGUAGAUAGGAUUCCAAAGCCGCGAACCCCACGUGCUGGUUGUGUGUCUUGAGCAAGUCACUUCUCUUCUGGAGUUGCACUAUGUAUCAUAAUGAAUUAAAUGGGGCCAAUGGCCAUCAUGGGCAGUACCUGUGUAACAGUGUACUGUAACAGUGUAAAGGGCUGAUUCCCAGCCAUGGCUCAGCAAGUGUUUUCUGAGUACUGUUCUAGGAGUUUCGGACAGGACAGAACUGACAGAGCCUCUCCUUUCAUAGAGGUGCUCGGUAAACACAUUAGAGCACAUCAAAGGUGGCAGGUGCAAUGUAGACAGAAAAGGCUGGAUCAGGGGAAGGGGCAUGGGGUGAGGAUGUUUCUGUUUUCCUCAGGGUAACAAAGGCAAAGGCAGGUCUAUCUGAAAGGUGACGAUCGCGCAGACAGCUGGAGAAAGCGAGGGAGAAGGCCAUGGGAUUACCUGAAGGAAGAGCAUUCCAGGCGGAAGAAGGAGCAGAUGCAGCAGUCCUGGCGGGGACAUCUACUUGAGGUGCUUCUGGGUCUCAAGAAGGAGUCCUGUGAUGCCCUGGCUUUGGCUCCGAGCACUCAUUGAACUGGUGUCUGGUGCUGCUCUGGCUCUUUGUCCCACAGCUUGUGGUCCUCCCCGUUUCACAGAUGAAGGACCCGGGGCUCCAAGAUGUGUCUUGCACCUUCUCCCUGCUUAUGCUUGACAUUACCGAAGAGGGGUGAAACCUUCUAGUCCGUCAUGAGAGACAGAGGGCUUGAGUGGUAGAGCCACAGGGAGGACACCAUCCACACUGAAUGUCAGCCAAACAGCCAACAUCACUUAUAAUACGGGAGUCCUGCCCCUCAUAACGUUUCUACUCUUGAUGGGGGGCAGGGCUUUAGGAAUGAGAAAGGGACUGGGGCAAAGGAGAGGGGCAGGAAGGAGAAGCUGGAAGACAGUGAGAAAAAACCCACUGGCUUCAUCAUAUUGCUUGGAUUUGGCCCAGUUCACCUUGUUUAACUGAUCAUAUGAGGAUAUACUCACCUUUUCCCCGUCUCUGCCAUUUCUUUCCUUCCCUCUCUCUUGGGCCUGAGCAGUUCAGUCCUAAAGCCACUUGGUGCUUGAGGACAAGACAAGUGUAGGCGUGUAGGGACAUUCAACUUGCAGAGUCAGAGCGCAAGGCAGUAAGGAGAAUACCCCUGGGUUUGGGCGAGGGUGCAGGCUAACUGGCUCAGGGAUUCAAGCUUGAGUUGGGGUGAGGAGGUCAAGGGCAAGGGAUGGGUCAGUGCAGCAUGUGAGGAGGACCUCAGUGGAGGAGGGAUGGCUUGUUUACGUUGGGAAUUCAUCACCUCAGCAAAUGUUUGAGGAUAGUGGGCGCCACGUCUGCCCCUUCUGGAAAAGGGAAUUUCUGAUAUGGAAAAGAAGUAAAGCAGAACACAUUCUGAGGUGUUCUGCUGGAAUUGGAAGUUCUCCAUGAGAAGGCCUGGUUUUCAGUAGAUAAGUGUGCACAUGUAGACAGAUACUUACAUGUAGAUGUGGAAGCAGCAAGAUCCCAAUGGCAAUAAGUACACCCCGUCCCAGAUCCUAGCUUCCAAAUUCCAUUCUCCACUAAAUGCUGGGUUCCCAGGCCGAGGAGGGAGAGUAUAAAUGAGGCUGGCUUCACUUGUCAUGUCAGCAGUAAGGAAAAGUUCAAGGAAUGAGGAGGAUGUGUCAAGGGGACAGAGAAUACAGCUUGAAGGCAAAGGCAACCCACUUGAAAAACCAGAGACUCUUUCAUUCUUCCAGGUUUAUUGAGGUAUUACCGACUCAAACCAUGAAAGUUUCAGGUGCUCAAUAUCAUGAUUUGAUACACAUAUAUGGCAAAAUGAUUACCACAAUACGGUUAGUUAGCACUGUAUCCACUCACAUCAUUAUGUUUUUAAGAAUUUUUUGGUGAUAACAUUUCAGUUCUUCUCUCUUUUCCUUUUAUUUCUCUCUCUCUCUCUCUCUCUCUUCUGUGUGUGUGUGUGUGUGUGUGUGUGUGUGUGUGUGUGUGUGUGUUGUUUUGUUUUUGGCUGCUCUGAAGGAUGAGGAAGUUCCUGGUCCAGGGCUCGACCCCACUCCACAGCAGCCACCCGAGCCAUGGCAGUGAAAACACUGGGUCCUUAACCCACUGCGCCACUUAAUUUUCAGUACAUAAUACAAUAUUAAGUAUCGUCACCAUGCUCUACGUUAGAUCCCCAUAACUUAUUCAUCUUAUAGCUAGAAGUUUGUACCCUUUGACCACCAUUUCCCCCAGCCCCUGGCAAGCACCAUUCUAAACUCUAUUUCUGUGACUUAGACUUUGUUCAGAUUCCAGAUGUAAGAGAGAACAUGCAUUUGCCUUUCUCUCUCUGACUUCUUUCACUUAGCCUUCAACGUCCAUCCAUGUUGUUGCAAAAGGCAGGACUCUACUUUUUAUGGCUGAAUAAUACCCCAUUGUGUAUGUCACCACGUUUUCUUUACCCAUUCAUCCUUACUUGGACACUUACGUUAACAUAUGUUGGCUGAAGCUGCAUGGUAAAUGUUAAAGUUGGUGUUAGUCCUCCAGUUUACUUUUCGAAAAUUAAUUUGGCUAUUCUCGUUCAUUUGCCUUUGCCUUACCACAGAAAGUUUGUAAUCAGUCUAUAUGUACCAAAAAAUCCUGCUGGCAUUUUACAUUGGAAUUGUAUGACAUUGAUGGAUCUUUUUGGGGACUGUUGACAUCCCAAUUAUAUUGCAUUUAUCAACCUAUGAACACAAUAUGUGUCCCCAUUUUGUUAGAUCAUUUUACAUUUAUAUCUGUGUCAUUCCUCAUAUUGUUGUGUCUUUUUAUCAUUCUUUAAGAUUUUUAUUUUUUCUAUUGUAAUGAUUUAUACUGUUCUGUCAAUUUCUGCUGUACAGCAAACUGACCCAGAAGUGUGUGUGUGUGUGUGUGUGUGUGUGUGUGUGUGUAUUCUUUUCCCAAAUUAUCCUCCAUCAUGUUCCAUCACAAGUGACUAGAUAUAGGACCCUGUGCUAUGAGGCAGGAUUUAUCAUUUUCUGUGUCUCUCUGGGUGCAAUUUUAUGAAUUCGUACUGCUCUUUUCAAAGAAACAACAUUCGGUUUCAUUGAUUAUAUUUAUUCUUCUUCUACUCUCUGUUCCAAUCUCUAUUCGUUUCCCUCCUGUGCUUUUGUACAGGACAGGGUGUGACCUCGCUCACACCAUGAGGGCCCUUGCUUUUCCCCACAUGAGCAUAUCAUCUUUGGACAUGGAUAUUCAUGGGGAGCAGUUGGGGGGAUUCCCCUUGAGUCUCCAUAAUCUUCCAGGAAAGCAUGUUCAGCUUCCCCAGAGAGGCUGGGGAGGGGGCUCUUCUUUGGGGUAAACCAAGAGCUCCACCUCCUCAAGGGGGCGACUUGGGCCUCUGGCCUCAGA
rnacentral:lncRNA from 9 species